rnacentral:lncRNA from 1 species
UUGCCAAUUUGAGGAGCUAAAAAUGACAUUCCAUUUUUUGUUUUAAUAAGUAUGUCAUAUUCAUGUUCUAUACAUAGAGAGAGAAAAUUGUUUUUUCUUUUUUCUUUGGGAAUUGCGUAUUCAUGUGUUUGCACAUAUUUUUUACUGAAAUAGCAGUAGUUUUCUGCACGGAUUAUAAAAACUUCAUAUAUUAAUGAUACUACUUUACUUGCUCAUAUAUGCUGUACGAUUUCCCUCUAAUUUUUCAUGUCAGUUUUUUUCAUGGUGUUUUUGACAUGCUGAAGUAUUUAACAUUCAUGUAGUCAGAUCUGGAAAUGCUUUGUUUUCUUCCUUUGCUUUUAAGCUUACAAAAUUCUCUACUGGCAAGGUAUGGUGGCUAAAGCCUGUAAUCCAGCACUUUGGGAGGCUAAGGUGAGAGGACGGCUUGAGGCCCAGAAAAAAUAGAAAAAUUAACCAGGCGUGGUGGUGCAUGCUUGUAGUCCUAGCUACUCAGAAGGCUGAGGUGGGAGGAUAGCUUGAGUCCAGGCAUUCAAGGUUGCUGUGGGCUAUGAUCAUGCCACCACCCUUCAGCCUGGGCAACAGAGUGAGACUCUGUCUCUAAAUAGUAAAUAAAAAAUAAAUAGAAACAAAGUUCUCUCUCUUGUGAACAGGUGAAAAAUGUACUUAUAUAUUCUUUUUUUUUUUUUUUGAGACGGAGUUUCACUCUUGUUGCCCA